UUUUAUCGAUAUGUUUACUUUUAUAUUUUGUAGAGUUAUGUCUAUUUUAUUGUACAGUAAGCUCUAUUACUGUAAUUUGUUCAUUGCAUGCAUUUAUUUGUCUGUUGUCCAUUCAUCAGUAUGAGCUAGAGCGUGAGAAACUUGCUAUGGAACUAGAGGAGGAGAGGAAAUCACACAAAGCACGAGAUCAAUGCAUUAGGGAACAACAAAUGAAAAUUGAUAAUCUCAAUAGUCUUGUCACCGUUUCGGAUUUUGAUAAAAAGUCUAGCCAGGAGUAAUGGACUGCAAGUUCCACCCUAGGCAACCAUGGUUAUUCACUGUGGGUGCUGAUUCAGUGAUCAAACUGUACUGUCAUUAAAAAAAGAAAAAGACGGUGAAUUGCCCUGUCUGUGUUUCAUAUUAUUAUUGGUUGAAACACAUUCUCACUUCAGCUAAAAUGGAUGAUGGGGUCAAUCAAUCUCACCGGGGAGAUUGGGCAGCUGAAGUGUGUUUCAGAUAUAUGAUUCAAUUUUUGAAGGUGAAGAUGACAAAUCAAUAGUCAUUUCCCAUAUCAAAGUUUUUGACAGUUGCUUGUUUCAUUUUGUUUAAUUGAAUUGGCUGAAUUGUAUUAUGCCCCGACAUAUAAUAGAUUUUCUUUUAAUUUUGCUUGUGUUCAUAU